GGUGAAAAGCACCCCGGAAGGGGAGUGAAAUAGAACCUGAAACCGUGUGCUUACAAGUAGUCAGAGCCCGUUAAUGGGUGAUGGCGUGCCUUUUGUAGAAUGAACCGGCGAGUUACGAUUUGAUGCAAGGUUAAGCAGUAAAUGUGGAGCCGUAGCGAAAGCGAGUCUGAAUAGGGCGUUUAGUAUUUGGUCGUAGACCCGAAACCAGGUGAUCUACCCUUGGUCAGGUUGAAGUUCAGGUAACACUGAAUGGAGGACCGAACCGACUUACGUUGAAAAGUGAGCGGAUGAACUGAGGGUAGCGGAGAAAUUCCAAUCGAACCUGGAGAUAGCUGGUUCUCUCCGAAAUAGCUUUAGGGCUAGCCUCAAGUGAUGAUUAUUGGAGGUAGAGCACUGUUUGGACGAGGGGCCCCUCUCGGGUUACCGAAUUCAGACAAACUCCGAAUGCCAAUUAAUUUAACUUGGGAGUCAGAACAUGGGUGAUAAGGUCCGUGUUCGAAAGGGAAACAGCCCAGACCACCAGCUAAGGUCCCAAAAUAUAUGUUAAGUGGAAAAGGAUGUGGCGUUGCCCAGACAACUAGGAUGUUGGCUUAGAAGCAGCCAUCAUUUAAAGAGUGCGUAAUAGCUCACUAGUCGAGUGACACUGCGCCGAAAAUGUAC
rnacentral:rRNA from 1 species